GGGAAACUAGAGGACACUGUCCCAGCAGCGGGACACACCUCAUGGUGAUAGCCAGAACAGCGGCAGUUAGAGAAGCAAUGCGCCUGUGGGACCCAAGUAGAAGCUUUUGGAGUCCCCUGCCGUAUUGUGGUCCGGCACAUGCAUGCAUGCGCCCUGCUUCCACGCACCACGGCAGUUCCUUCGCAAUAACUUGCGUAUCGAUACACUCAUACUUCGCUUCGAGAAGUCAAAGCUGCACCAGAUCCCUAAAAGGGGUUAGUAGUGGAGGGGUUUUGCGGCGCCUAAUAGCAUUCUGUAGUAUCCAACCUUGAUGACCUUGGACUCUUGGUUGCAUGAAAAUUUGGCAAACUUGGCAACUGCAAUCAACAUCCAGUGCUUCCGACAGGUACCUUCUAUAAACAGGACAAAAGGCAGCACGCGGAAACACCAUAGUUCAGCUACAGCGAGCCGUGGGCCAGCUGCAGUAGCUGCAAUGCCCAGGAUUUGCAGAACUAACAUGUAACAUGAUCAAGAACCGGUAAUAACGUCAGAGCUGGCGUUGUCGCGGAGAACCAACGCAGGAGGAAUUCUUACAGUUUCGGCCAAACGCCAUGCAUUCUGCCAGGCGAAUAUACAUUUGUGUUAAAAUGUGAUAUUUGGAUGUUGCAUCGAAAGCGAGGCGUCGGAGUUGCUCACGGAGUUGAUUCUGUUGGAGACCUUACCCUCAGGCAGGACACUCAACACCCUUCCAGGCCACAAGUAAAAAUUUGGUACAAACUGACGCAGCUCUUCUG
rnacentral:lncRNA from 1 species